UCGCGUCCGCCAACCGGUUCAGCCGUGACGCGGAAGGUUUCUCAACCAACUCCAGCUCCCUGAAGGGGAGCGAAAGGUCAGCG
rfam:Burkholderiales bacterium 68-10 SCNpilot_bf_inoc_scaffold_951, whole genome shotgun sequence.